GACGAACGCUGGCGGCGUGCUUAACACAUGCAAGUCGAACGGAAAGGCCCUGCUUGCCGGGUACUCGAGUGGCGAACGGGUGAGUAACACGUGGGUGAUCUGCCCUUCACUUCGGGAUAAGCCUGGGAAACGGGGUCUAAUUACGGCAAAGAGCCAUUUGGAGAGAGCGGGGUGGCAAGGUUUUUCGGUGUAGGGUGAGCUCGCGGCCUAUCAGCCUGUUGGUGUGGUGAUGGGCUACCCAGGCGGCGAGGGGUAGCCGGCCUGUGAGGGUGGACGGCCACCCUGGGUCCUAGAGACGGCCCAGACUCCUACUGGUGGCCGCAGUGGGGAAGCUUGCACCAUGGGCGCCAGCCUUAUGCAGCGGCGCCUCGUGUUGUAUGACGCCCUUCGGGUUGUAAACUCCCUUCGCUAGAGACGAAGCGUUUUGUGACGGUACCUAGAGAAGAAGCACCGGCUAACUACGUG
rnacentral:rRNA from 1 species